CCUACGGGAGGCAGCAGUGAGGAAUAUUGGUCAAUGGACGAGAGUCUGAACCAGCCAAGUAGCGUGAAGGAUGACUGCCCUAUGGGUUGUAAACUUCUUUUAUAUGGGAAUAAAAUGUUCCACGUGUGGGAUUUUGUAUGUACCAUAUGAAUAAGGAUCGGCUAACUCCGUGCCAGCAGCCGCGGUAAUACGGAGGAUCCGAGCGUUAUCCGGAUUUAUUGGGUUUAAAGGGAGCGUAGGUGGAUUGUUAAGUCAGUUGUGAAAGUUUGCGGCUCAACCGUAAAAUUGCAGUUGAAACUGGCAGUCUUGAGUACAGUAGAGGUGGGCGGAAUUCGUAGUGUAGCGGUGAAAUGCUUAGAUAUCACGAAGAACUCCGAUUGCGAAGGCAGUUCACUGGACUGCAACUGACACUGAGGCUCGAAGGUGUGGGUAUCAAACAGGAUUAGAUACCCUUGUAGUC
rnacentral:rRNA from 1 species